AAAUCUAAAGUUUUUAAAUGACUCAAAAUUGGACGGUAUAGAUGAAUUCUAACGCCUAUCAUCUAUAUAU
rnacentral:sRNA from 1 species